rnacentral:lncRNA from 1 species
GCUUGACACAUUAUCAAUCAAAUAUACAUAAAUUGUCUAAAACAUAUAUCUUAGUACUUUACAUCCCAUAUACGUAUUUACAACAAAAAUGACUCUAGGCUUCCAACGGAGUGACCAAGGUGAAGGUGCGGCUACGAAAAUGCCAAGAUACCUACCAAGGAUGCGAAUCUACAAGGACACCUCGACCUAGUUACCAGCUACCUCUUGAUCUAAAAACAUGAAGUUGAAAACGGUGAGUAUAAACCUAGUGAGUGAACAAGGAAAGGAACAAGCAUACAAUAAGGAAGAUUUAACGAAAUCAUGAUGCAUUUAUCUUUCAAAUAAUGCAAUUUAGUUUGGUUCUUAUUAAAACCCCUCAUUUAAACCCCUCAUGAGUAAAUCGCUUGAUGAUAAAGAGUUCAUGCUCAACAAAAGAUUUGAAGAGUGAAAACUUUAAAGAGAUUCAAGCAAUUGAAGUCAAGUAAACGACGAGUCCUCGCUGUAGUGGAAAGACAUUCUCGUUGCAACAAAUUUUGACUCAAAUUAUCAACUGACCAAGGGUUUCUCACCAAACCUCCUCAUUUCAAACUUAAUUAUUUAAUUCCUUAAUGUUGGAAGUCCAUGCUCAACUAUGGUACCAAAGAAGUGAGAAAUAGGGCAGAAACCGAACAAGACAAUAAGCAAGACAGAAAGUUUCUCGCUGCAGCGAAAUUUAAGCAGCAAAAUAGAAAGUUUCUCGCUGCAGCGAGAAGCCUCAGCAACUUUCUCGUUGCAGCGAGAAUCCAGCCAAUACAACCCUCCAAACCCUAGAGUUUUUUGCUGUAGCAAGAUUCAUUCUCGCUGCAACGAGAAACAGGACACCAACAUCAAUUUUUCAUUCUCUCAAGAAAAGGCCAUUUAGCUGCAAGGACAAAAUCAACUUGAACAUGCUUAGAAAUUUCCAAGGUUUAACAUGCAAGAUUCAUAUGCAUUACAAACCAUAUAUUAUACUCAUGCACUUUCUAUAACACACAACUUUAUAUAUAUAAUAUACAUCAUCAUACAUACCAUCCAACCAUCAUCAGCUCAUGUGCACUCCCACUCGCACAUAGCUGGGUCAGCAUCAACUCAUAUGCACUCCUACACGUACAUGGCUGGGUCAUCAUCAGCUCAUGUGUACUUCUACACGCACAUGGUUGGGUCAUCAUCAUCACAAAAAAGGAACAUACAAUGCAUAUUAUACAUAUCAACAUAUUGCUAUAACACAUGAACCAUUUAUUUGGCACAUUUUCACAAGAUAAAAACAUUCACCAAAUGUUUGUUCCCUAGGUAGAUUUUUAAAGAAAAAUUGGAUAAAAUCAUUCAAAUGUUUUGUGCAAACACAUUCAUAUUCCCAAAACAAAUUUUGAAAUGCAAGUUCACUCACCAGUAUUUGUUAAAUCCUUACUCAACUCCAACUUCUUCUAUUGGUCCAAAUGGGUGGUGGGGCUUCGUUAGAACCUUGGUAGCUUUGUAAAUUUGAAAUUCUUUCUAAUAAUUCUCCAAACUAUUAUAAAGCUCCCUCUUUCUCUCUCUAAACAUCUAGCUAGUGAGAGGAAGUAUGGAAGUAAGAUUUUUCAAGGGUUUUAAAGUGAGAGAGUGAAAAAGCACAAAGGUUCUAUGAAAGGGUACACAAAAGCAUGAAAGGUGAAACUGGCUUGAGAGAGUUAUGGAAGCUUGAAGAGAACUCCCAUGGAGGAUGAAGAAACAUGAGAGGGAAAAAGGAAGAAGAAGAAGAAGC